AUUGCCUUAGUAACGGCGAGUGAAGCGGCAACAGCUCAAAUUUGAAAUCUGGCCCCAGGCCCGAGUUGUAAUUUGCAGAGGAUGCUUUUGGCGCGGUGCCUUCCGAGUUCCCUGGAACGGGACGCCAUAGAGGGUGAGAGCCCCGUCUGGUUGGAUACCAAGCCUUUGUAAAGCUCCUUCGACGAGUCGAGUAGUUUGGGAAUGCUGCUCUAAAUGGGAGGUAUAUGUCUUCUAAAGCUAAAUACCGGCCAGAGACCGAUAGCGCACAAGUAGAGUGAUCGAAAGAUGAAAAGCACUUUGGAAAGAGAGUUAAACAGCACGUGAAAUUGUUAAAAGGGAAGCGUUUAUGACCAGACUUGGGCCGGUUAAUCAUCCAGCGUUCUCGCUGGUGCACUUUGCCGGUCCAGGCCAGCAUCAGUUCGCUGCGGGGGAUAAAGGCGUCGGGAAUGUGGCUCCUCCGGAGUGUUAUAGCCCUUCGCGCAAUACCCUGCGGUGGACUGAGGUUCGCGCAUCUGCAAGGAUGCUGGCGUAAUGGUCAUCAACGACCCGUCUUGAAACACGGACCAAGGAGUCGUCUUCGUAUGCGAGUGUUCGGGUGUAAAACCCCUACGCGUAAUGAAAGUGAACGCAGGUGAGAGCUUCGGCGCAUCAUCGACCGAUCCUGAUGUUCUCGGAUGGAUUUGAGUAAGAGCAUACGGGGCCGGACCCGAAAGAAGGUGAACUAUGCCUGUAUAGGGUGAAGCCAGAGGAAACUCUGGUGGAGGCUCGCAGCGGUUCUGACGUGCAAAUCGAUCGUCAAAUAUGGGCAUGGGCGCGAAAGACUAAU
rnacentral:rRNA from 1 species